CAGUGCGUGUGUAUGUGUGUGUAUUUGCGUGUGUGUCGCAUGUAUGUGUGUGCUUGCAUGUGUUGUGUGUAUAUGUGUGCAUGUUUGCUCUAGUGUUGUAUGUAUGUGUGUGCGUGUGUAUGAGGGUGUCCCUGAUGUGAUUCAUUCAGUUUUAAAACACGUUCUCAAAUAAAAGUCGACUCCAUGAAACUGAUGUACGUGUGAGUAAGUGAGUGUGUAUGUGAGUGUGUUUGUGUGUGUCUGUGUAUGCAUGUACUACGUGACUGUAUAUAUAUAUGUAUAUAUAUAUAUAUUUCUGGACUGUUUUAUUCUGAACUUUACACCCUCCGGCUGCAGCUCUCCUACCCACGGAUUACACUGGACCCAUCUUCUGAUUGGAAAUCGCCUCAAUAUACCACGACGUCUAAAACACUUUUGAACUUUUGAACUUUUCCACUUAUGUCAAGUAAAUCAAUUGGAGAAAGAAUUAAAGAUGUUAGCUGAGCAAGUAACGACGAUGAUUAUUUGAAUCAACAACAGUAUUUCAAGAAAGCAGCUAUAACCCAUUGAUAAUGUAAAACUGGCGACGAAGAAAUCACUGUAAUUUGCUGAAUUCGCUGCGUUCCAAACGACAUGAUCACAAACAACUGGAAAGGACAGUUCACGUAAUGUUCUAAAUGGCGUCUGCUCAUCAGAAACGAACAAAUAAUUGGGAAGAAGACAUUACAUUUUCAGUUUUGUCAACCUAUGCUGAAAUUUGUGUUAAUAGAACUUUUGCUGUUUUAAGGUUUGAUCGAGUAUUUAACUCUACUAAAUGACGGGAGAAACAUGAUGAAUAAACUUGAUCAAUAACCAUGAUGAAAUAUUGUUAUAUCUCAAGCUACUGCUAUCUAGCAGCUUCGGAUGAUCUCUACUCAACCGAUACACAACUGCUACUCGACUGCUACUCAACACACCUAACACGGCCAGACUACCUCUAUUUAUAUGUCUUGGGAGAUCCUACUUCUUUGCCUGGGGGCGUUGAUACAACAAAUAUGAUGAAUAAACGUGUCUUAUAUCGACUCUAGUGAGACCACCUAUAAUCCGAUGACAGAAAUAUCCUGUUUUAAAGCCAUCUAAAUUAGAACCGUCUCUCAAUAUUUCAUGUUACUUCGUGUAACAUCAGCUAAAUAACAAUAAAUUUAUUUUACUAAAUUCUUCAGAAAUUUUAAAAUUCAUUGAAUCAAAGA